rnacentral:rRNA from 1 species
AGCAGUAGCCGCGGGAAUACGUAGGUGGCAAGCGUUGUCCGGAAUUAUUGGGCGUAAAGCGCGCGCAGGUGGUUUAAUAAGUCUGAUGUGAAAGCCCACGGCUCAACCGUGGAGGGUCAUUGGAAACUGUUAAACUUGAGUGCAGGAGAGAAAAGUGGAAUUCCUAGUGUAGCGGUGAAGUGCAUAGAGAUUAGGAGGAACACCAGUGGCGAAGGCGGCUUUUUGGCCUGUAACUGACACUGAGGCGCGAAAGCGUGGGGAGCAAACAGGAUUAGAUACCCCCGUAGUCCCUGUCUCUUAUAC